AUUGAACGCUGGCGGCAGGCCUAACACAUGCAAGUCGGACGGUAGCACAGAGAGCUUGCUCUUGGGUGACGAGUGGCGGACGGGUGAGUAAUGUCUGGGGAUCUGCCCGAUAGAGGGGGGUAACCACUGGAAACGGUGGCUAAUACCGCAUAACGUCGCAAGACCAAAGAGGGGGGCCUUCGGGCCUCUCACUAUCGGAUGAACCCAGAUGGGAUUAGCUAGUAGGCGGGGUAAUGGCCCACCUAGGCGACGAUCCCUAGCUGGUCUGAGAGGGUGACCAGCCACACUGGAACUGAGACACGGCCCAGACUCCUACGGGAGGCAGCAGUGGGGAAUAUUGCACAAUGGGCGCAAGCCUGAUGCAGCCAUGCCGCGUGUAUGAAGAAGGCCUUCGGGUUGUAAAGUACUUUCAGCGGGGAGGAAGGCGGUGAGGUUAAUAACCUUGCCGAUUGACGUUACCCGCAGAAGAAGCACCGGCUAACUCCGUGCCAGCAGCCGCCGUAA
rnacentral:rRNA from 1 species